rnacentral:rRNA from 1 species
GACGAACGCUGGCGGCGUGCCUAACACAUGCAAGUCGAACGAAGUGGCGAACGGGUGAGUAAUACGUGGGUAACCUGCCCUCCUUUUCGGGAUAAGCCUUGGAAACGGGGUCUAAUACCGUAUAAAGGGGGAUGGGCUCGCGGCCUAUCAGCCUGUUGGUGGGGUGAUGGACUACCAAGGCGGUGACGGGUAGCCGACCUGAGAGGGUGAUCGGCCACAUUGGGACUGAGAUACGGCCGAGACUCCUACGGGAGGCAGCAGUGGGGAAUAUUGGACAAUGGGCGAAAGCCUGAUCCAGCCAGGCCGCGUGUGUGAAGAAGGUCUUCGGAUUGUAAAGCCCUGUAGGUUGGAAGACGUUACCAAAACAAUAAGCACCGGCUAACUUCGUGCCAGCAGCCGCGGUAAUAC